GGGUUGUGAGGUUAAGCGACUAAGCGUACACGGUGGAUGCCCUGGCAGUCAGAGGCGAUGAAGGACGUGCUAAUCUGCGAUAAGCGUCGGUAAGGUGAUAUGAACCGUUAUAACCGGCGAUUUCCGAAUGGGGAAACCCAGUGUGAUUCGUCACACUAUCAUUAACUGAAUCCAUAGGUUAAUGAGGCGAACCGGGGGAACUGAAACAUCUAAGUACCCCGAGGAAAAGAAAUCAACCGAGAUUCCCCCAGUAGCGGCGAGCGAACGGGGAGGAGCCCAGAGCCUGAAUCAGUGUGUGUGUUAGUGGAAGCGUCUGGAAAGGCGCGCGAUACAGGGUGACAGCCCCGUACACAAAAAUGCACAUGCUGUGAGCUCGAUGAGUAGGGCGGGACACGUGGUAUCCUGUCUGAAUAUGGGGGGACCAUCCUCCAAGGCUAAAUACUCCUGACUGACCGAUAGUGAACCAGUACCGUGAGGGAAAGGCGAAAAGAACCCCGGCGAGGGGAGUGAAAAAGAACCUGAAACCGUGUAC
rnacentral:rRNA from 1 species